rnacentral:misc_RNA from 1 species
ACUUUCACUUGACUCACUUUUGGACUACAUUGAUAAUGAUAUUGAGGAAUCAACAUUUGAGCUCUCAUUAUUUGCUGAAUUAUUUUAUGAAAUGCUUCAGUAUCAGAUGGGCUCCCGUAUUUUGGCGUUUCUGCAGAAACUACGCAUAAAAUUUGUAACAAAAAGAAAUCAACGGAAGAGGCUGUGGGAGGAAAUGGAAGAGAAGGAAAAGGAGAGGAAAUCAUCAACUAAACGACAGAAGACUAAUGAACAGCCUGUGAACACCAAAUCGGCUGAAUCUGAAUUGUUGGGCACAGAUCAAUCUGAGGAUCAAAGAACUAAGAAAAAGGAAGAUACUUCUGUUGAUAAGGGUAAUGAAGCAAAGUUGGAAGAUGAAACUGAUUAUGAAGAAGACCCAGAAGAAGAUCCUGAAGAAUGUGAAGAAAUGGAGGAUGCUGGAGAUGACUCGUCUGAUGAGAAGGAUGAAGAAGAGGGAAGGAUGAGUCUGGAUGCUGUCCAUGAACCAGUGACUGGCAAUGGGAAAGAAAAAGCAGCGAAAGAUGCCAAGGAGACAAAAUGUGAAGAGGCAAAGGUCAAGUCUGAUGUUGAUUUGUCAGAAACGAGAGAUGUGAAGGUGGAGACUGGGAAUAAAGAGCCAUCUGCUGUAAAGGAUGCUGUGGUUGAUAAGGAACUAUUGCAGGCUUUCAGG